GUGCUCUGCCCAGGGCCGGGGCCAGCGUGCAGGAGAAGAAACGCAGGCAGGCACAGGCUUCUGUGCACGGCUGGUUUGCUGUGGGCCGAUAACCUCUGCCGGGCCGGCACAGCUCUUGAAACUUCGGAGGGGGCACGGUGGAGGAUGAAGAAACACGGGAGCUAAGCUGCACAAAGCUGAGGGUCAGGUGGAGCCGCCUCUCCUGGUGGGUAAGAGCUGUGCAAGGACCGUGGCACGUUUAUUUACACACUCAGAACAUUAUUGUCGGUUGAAACCCCUCGGCCUAGCCACUGCUUUGCUUGGCUCGCUGUGGUGUUCUCAGGGCUGGCUUUGUUUUAGCCCCGCACAUGUGUUCCAUCUCUAACUUCUGCCGCUCCCCACAUCUCUUUUAUCCCAGGACACACUGCUGGGAUGUGCUGCCUUAACAGUUGCUAAAAGAAGCCCUGCUCAGGGCUAAAAUUUGAACCAGCUAGGUAUUUGUUCGCCUAGACAGCUGAUAACUAAGAAACUAUGAAAAUAAAGUAGGACACCGGUCACCAUGUUCCAAUACAAAUCGGAACCACAAUUUGACAAAAUUGGAACUACAAAAUACUGACAAGGAGGAUGAGGACAGUGCAGCAUAUUCAACCCAAUUUGUAUUUUGUACACAGUUGUAUUUUGAUGUAAUUCUUGCAACACACAAUUCAUACAUUUAGAGUGUACAGUUGAAUGAUUUUUAACCGUUCACAGAUAUGUGUAACCACCAGUACAGUUCAUUUUAGACAAGUUCCUUAGCUUGAAAGUAUCCCUACAUGCUGUAUCCAUCACCCCUUCUCUAUUUCUUCAUCAAUAAGCACUUUCAGGCCUAAAUAACUAGUAAACUAAUUGUUAUCUUUAGAGAUGUCCCUGCUCUGAUCAUUUCAUAUAAAUGAAUAAAAUGCUGCAUGGUC